AGAUAAGUCUAAAGUGAGUAAAAACAAGAUCGGACUUGGUUUUAAUGCACAUGCUCAUUUUAAGGCUAAUCCACCCACUAUAGUUAAGUCACUUGGCAAUGGAAUUUUUGAAACAUCUGACAAGCCAACCAAUGUGAUUUUUAAAUCUGCCGGCAUCAUGUCUAAUGAUACUUCAACAAUUGCGAAUGUAGGUCAUAUAUCACAUGCUAAACCUGAAAGUAGGUACACUUGCGCUUAUUGUAAUAAACCUGGACAUGGUUUAGGUUCUUGUUUUAGACUAGCUAGAGUAAUUAAAAAAAAAGAAAACAAGCUAGAUCUAAUUCCUUCAAGACACAUCAUGCUCAUGAUAAAACUAUUGCUCGCCGUUAUGUGCCUAGGGUGACUCUUUCACCUUCCGUUUCAACUUGCACGAGACAUGUACAAUCUGUUCCAAUGUAUAAGGAAACUCGUGCUUUGCCUACUCGUCGUGUAUCUUAGUACUGGAUACCUAAAAGUUUUUAUCUAACCCC
rnacentral:lncRNA from 1 species